ensembl:lncRNA
UUUGUGACGUAAUACGGUUAUAAAGAGAUCAUAAACUCAUCUCUGUCCACUCAGAUCUCUAGCUCCUACAUCCGUGUCCAGACAUCCUGACUGGCCAAUGAAACCAUCAUCUGCCUUUCUACCAGAUGAAAAGUAUUAACUCUAAUCUGUGAGCUCGCCUCUACUGGGGCCAAAAAUACAAAGUCCCAUUUUUUAAUAUGGAAAAUGUGCUUAUGGUGCCAUAAUCACAAUUUAUGGUAAUGAAAUCAUAACAUAGGUUGUGUAAUCAAAGCCUAAAAUUAAACUUUGUAGAGGUUUAGUAGAGGUUGUUUUAUAGGCCUCAGACUGAUCCGAUACUGGUGGAGUAGGUGGCCUCUUUCUUUCUUUCUUUCUUUCUUUCUUUCUUUCUUUCUUUCUUUCUUUCUUUCUUUCUUUCUUUCUUUCUUUCUUUCUUUCUUUCUUUCUUUCUUUCUUUCUUUCUUUCUUUCUUUCUUUCUUUCUUUCAGCAAUGCAGAAGGAUUCCAGCAGUUUUCCUUCUAUGGAUGCAAAACCAGCUGCUGCACUACUAACAAACAUAACUGCAGCAGCACUCCUUCACACUCACAUCCCAUUGAACACAGACGACAGCAGGACCGGGCCCCAGACACACAAUCAGCUCUCAGUGGGUUGCACCUUGGCCAUUAUGCCUUACAGCCUGCUCUUGAACACCCUGCCGAGACAUUAACUUCACAGCCAACAUCCGUUCCCUUUACUGAUCUGCUGCGCCAUGCCAUACUGCUGCACUGCCUCCACAGGACCGGAAAGCCUUGCAGGGACCUAACAUAUCCUGUCUGGGGCUGCAACAGCCACAGAUGCAUCUUAAGCAAGAGGUCAAAUUGAAGGCUUUGUCUGAACUUUUAACUUGUGCUCACUAGAUUGCCAUGGAGGUAUGCUGACCCAGACAGAUGGUGCUUAUGCUGCAGCGCCCUCUCAGCCUGCUCACCUUUUGUCUGCCCACUCGAGCUGGAGAGACAUUGCUCCCACAGGGCAGCUUGCAAAGGUCUUGUGGUGUAGGAGUGCCAGCCUUUAGAUGUGCAAUACUUUGACUGGAUUUAAAGCCCACAGAUUGCUGUUAACCACCUGGUCAAAUACCAUGAGGUCUCUGAACAGGCCUGUCGUAAUUCUUUUUUUUAUAAUAGGUGAAAAAAAGAAAAUUCAGAUCCCUGAAAAUGCCAUGUUCAAGUGGGCCAGUCAUAUCUGUAGUGUUACAGGGUCAGUCUUUUAAAUAAUGUGAUCAGUGUGUGUGUAAGUAUUCCCUGCAACACCCCUAAAUCUCUUGUUUUACUCUUGGCACUACAUGAUGUCAUAGAGAAGGGCUGCUAACUAACCCUCUGAGUAGAGAGACCACACUCACCUGCUGUUUAAAUCUUCUGACUGAGAGGGGCAGCCAAUCAAUUAAAACUGUGGCCUUAAAGUAAUAAGAACUUAAAAAGUUUUGUUUGACAUAGCAGGUGAAUGAGGUGUGUGCAUCCAGAGCUUUUACAACACAAAUCAGGAUUUUUUAUUUUUUAUUUUUUUUGAUCAAAGUUUCUCUGGUUGAAUGCAAGAAUUGAAAUACGGCGCUAGAAACGAGAACAACAGGUCCACUUUCAUGUAGACUGUGCGGUUGGUUUUGUUACACAAAUAAAUCCUUGUGUCUCGAAACUUCACCAAUUAGCCCAUUUGUUGGUCUCAGUUGUUUAAUGAGUUGCAAAAGCUCAAGCGUCAAAACUGCACUUUGUUUAAUAGGUGUUGUGUGCAAGGUGUGUUUUUGUUGCCAAGUGAGACAUUUCCCUUCACAGAGUCCUGAUAAACAUCCACGAUAACCCCAUAAAAUGGUGAAUUGUGUGAUGGAGACACAACUAUACUGGCACCUCCAUACAGAGAUGAGAGUAGGAUUGGUCUUCUUCUAUGAUUCAAAGGCUAUGAAGCAAAUCAGUGAAUUUACCAAGGUAUGCUUCUCUUCUUUCAACAAACUCUGGUCUAAUACAAUAAUAAGAAAAACGUAAGUAUUUUAAGCUUGAAUGGUGAUUCCUGUCACUCAUACUCAUUGUAUACACAACCUCCUUUGUUCUUACUUAUUUGAACUGAGUUGAAAUGUGUCAAAAGGUUGCGUUCACACGCCAAGAGCUUAUUAUAGCCUUUUUAUGAACGUGAACAGCAAGCAGCCUUCACAUGGCAUGCA